rnacentral:misc_RNA from 2 species
UCCCAAACCCUUAUGUGAACCUACCUAUCGUUGCUUCGGCGGACUCGCCCCAGCCGGACGCGGACUGGACCAGCGGCCGCCGGGGACCAUCAAACUCUUGUAUUAUCAGCAUCUUCUGAAUACGCCGCAAGGCAAAACAAAUAAAUUAAAACUUUCAACAACGGAUCUCUUGGCUCUGGCAUCGAUGAAGAACGCAGCGAAAUGCGAUAAGUAAUGUGAAUUGCAGAAUCCAGUGAAUCAUCGAAUCUUUGAACGCACAUUGCGCCCGCCAGCAUUCUGGCGGGCAUGCCUGUUCGAGCGUCAUUUCAACCCUCGACCUCCCUUUGGGGAAGUCGGCGUUGGGGACCGGCAGCACACCGCCGGCCCUGAAAUGGAGUGGCGGCCCGUCCGCGGCGACCUCUGCGUAGUAAACCAACUCGCACCGGAACCCCGACGUGGCCACGCCGUAAAACACCCAACUUCUGAACGUUGACCUCGAAUCAGGUAGGACUACCCGCUGAACUUAAGCAUAUCAAUAAGCGGAGG